GACGGCUAUCGAAGCACAUGUCGAGUGCACCACCAUACACGUAACCUUUUUUCAACCUUGGACCAACUAACUUAACAAUUUCUUCUCUCACCUUAUUGUACGCUUCUUCCACUAAGAAAGUGUAUUCUGUGCCGGAAUCAAUGAUCGUCUGACCGGAACCACCAGCGUUUGGCCGGAAAACCCUACCGGAGAUAUUUAAUUUUUUGCCGCCAAUUUUUAUCCCCACCAUGCCAACAGUAAAAGCUAGUGGAUCCAAAUUUGGCAUGCGUUGACUUUGAGGAAAAGUCAAAAGAUUUACGUAUUGAAAUGUAUGGGAAUUAGGGUUUUGGCCUAGGUAAAAUGUUCCACUAGGUUUAACUGCAUGGCUACCUUGUCUAAUUGGCACGCAAUAUGAAAACUUUUGUA
rnacentral:lncRNA from 1 species